rnacentral:rRNA from 2 species
ACAGGGGGGAAACCUUUUUACAAUUUGGCGUAUUUGUGGGGGGGGGGUCACGAAGUGGGGGCGAGGCGAGGCUUAAUAUGAGGAACGGUAAAUGGGUUAGGGAUUAAAGGGUGGGUAGGGCGGGUACCAGCGGCCCGCGGUAACACCGGCGCCCGAAGUGGGGACGGUCAUUAUUGGGCUAAAAGGGUCCGUAGCGGGAAAAACAAUUCUCUUGGGAAACUGUUAGGCUUAACUUAACAAGUGGCAGGAAACACUAUUUUUCUGGGGCCCGGGAGGAGUCAGAGGUAUUCUUGGGGGAGCGGUAAAAUGCUAUAUUCCCAAGAGGCCCCCCGAUGGGGAAGGCAUCUGACUAGAACGGAUCUGCCGGUGAGGAAGGAAGGCCAGGGGAGCAACCCGAAUUAGAUACCCGAGUAUUCCUGCCAGUAAACGCUGCAA